GUGGGGAAUUUUGGACAAUGGGCGCAAGCCUGAUCCAGCAAUGCCGCGUGCAGGAAGAAGGCCUUCGGGUUGUAAACUGCUUUUGUACGGAACGAAACGGUCCUGGUUAAUACCUGGGGCUAAUGACGGUACCGUAAGAAUAAGCACCGGCUAACUACGUGCCAGCAGCCGCGGUAAUACGUAGGGUGCGAGCGUUAAUCGGAAUUACUGGUCGUAAAGCGUGCGCAGGCGGUGCUGUAAGACAGGCGUGAAAUCCCCGGGCUCAACCUGGGAAUUGCGCUUGUGACUGCAGUGCUGGAGUACGGCAGAGGGGGAUGGAAUUCCGCGUGUAGCAGUGAAAUGCGUAGAUAUGCGGAGGAACACCGAUGGCGAAGGCAGUCCCCUGGCCUGUACUGACGCUCAUGCACGAAAGCGUGGGGAGCAAACAGGAUUAGAUACCCCAGUAGUCC
rnacentral:rRNA from 1 species